rnacentral:misc_RNA from 1 species
UUGCAAAUGUGAUGAAGAAGUGAAAAUUACAACUUCAUAGACAAAUGCACAUCUCAAAAGAAGGAUAUAUGGACAUGCAAGAACUAUGGGGUAAGGGAAAAUCAUUUUUUUUAUUGUAUGUGAGUGUCCCGCCCAAUCGAGGUGAAGGAGCUGAAGAUGUUGUAGUAUUGUAGUUGAAGGUUGUCAUUAAAUGACAUUCCUCUUUGCAAAUGUGAUGAA